CCAAAAUAUGUGUAGUCAAAUCACUGGGCUUCUGUCUGGGCAGCUUGUAUUGUUGCAGUUUACCAAAUGCCACAGCAGAUGUGAGAGAUGCUCAACAAUGGCACAUAAGCCGAAAUCGCAAUAGCGCUAUAGAAACUGUUACAGCCAAACGCAGAAAACGACGUCAUUUGAAGAAUUUAUAGAGAAGUUAACAGCGUGAACAAUUGCAUUAAGUUCACUGGAACGAGAUGUAUGGAACCAGUUUGUGGUGGUGUCCCUGCUGGCAACCCUUCAUUGGAUGGACCGGACUGAACUGCAUUACAGGUAGAAAAGUGAUCUUUAAAGAUAUUGCUACCGAACGGCCAGACUCCAGAACGAGCAAAUCCAUAAUUGCCGCCUCUAUAGUUGCUGCCCUCUCAAAUGCUUUCCCCAAAAUUGCUGGAACUUGAAACUGAGCCGCUAUGCCUCUGGAUUGCUCGUAAUUUUG